rnacentral:antisense_RNA from 1 species
UGAGGUUCAGACAGGCUAAGUCCCUACUGCAGGCUGCGGAAUCUAAAAAGGUCAUGAACUCUGAGAGUUUGAGAUGAGCCUCUAAAAGCUGUAUCAAUAGCACCUUGCACUGUUGAAGCAGGUAGUCUUGCUCUGUCACCCAGGCUGGAGUGCAGUGGUGCCCCUCCUGUUGUGAAUGGACAGAGUCCUGAGCAAGGAAACCUAGAAGGGAGAGAGGAAUACCAUGGAAUUGAGUCCUGUCUGGUAGCACUGACAGACACAGUGGCCAGCCACCCUCAUGCCACCCUGUCCUGCCAUGGGAAGGAACAGCAGCUCUAGAGUUCCUAUGGGAACUCUCUUUCCUUCUCACUGAACUCUAGCUUCAUCAAUAACUCAGUGCCUCUGGCCAAGUUUUUAGCCUCUGGGACAACAUCCACUAUAUCCAUAUGAGGCACUCAUGUAACACGGUGAUUAAGAGUACAGAUGCUGAAGCCAGCAGCCUAAGUCUGAAUCCUGACUGCCAAUUAUUAAUAUAAGUUGUGGAACCAUGGUCAAGUUACUCAACCUCUUUAUGCCUCUGUCUCCUGGU